AUAAGCAAUUAUACGGCGAAACUGCGAAUGGCUCAUUAUAUAAGUUAUCGUUUAUUUGAUAGUGCCUUACUACUUGGAUAACCGUGGUAAUUCUAGAGCUAAUACAUGCUAAAAAUCCCGACUUCGGAAGGGAUGUAUUUAUUAGAUUAAAAACCAAUGCCCUCCGGGGCUCUUUGGUGAUUCAUGAUAACUCCUCGAAUCGCACGGCCUUGUGCCGGCGAUGGUUCAUUCAAAUUUCUUCCCUAUCAACUUUCGAUGUUUGGGUCUUGGCCAAACAUGGUUGCAACGGGUAACGGAGGGUUAGGGCUCGACCCCGGAGAAGGAGCCUGAGAAACGGCUACUACAUCCAAGGAAGGCAGCAGGCGCGCAAAUUACCCAAUCCCGACACGGGGAGGUAGUGACAAUAAAUACUGAUACAGGGCUCUUUUGGGUCUUGUAAUCGGAAUGAGUACAAUUUAAAUCUCUUAACGAGGAACAAUUGGAGGGCAAGUCUGGUGCCAGCAGCCGCGGUAAUUCCAGCU
rnacentral:rRNA from 1 species